UAUCUCGUUUUCUCGAAUUUUCGUUUAUUCGGCGGCCGCCCAAGGCGUCGCGUGCAACGCCGGUCGGCCGCUUACGUCAAUAAUCGCUCCGAUUGCUCCUCGUAAUUUUCUUCAAAAUGCAGAUAUUAAUCCCAAUAUUUAUUUAAGCUCGUAAAACUAUUUAUUUCGAACAUAGGAUAAAAAUUAUUAAACUUCCACAUUAUCCGGAAAUUAGUUAAAUAAUUCCCCAUAAGUAAUUUAUCGGCCCAAAACUUAAUUCGUUCCCACCUUAUGUCUUUAAUUUAAUUAAUCAAUACCCCACUAAAGAAGGCCCAAACCAUUUAAUUAAAAGUCCAAGAUUUAAUUAUUUCCUCCACUUUAUCUUCAAUUACAAUUUUAAGCCCAACAAUUAAACAUUCUACCCACUUCUAAUUAAUGAGGCCCAAACUUAAAGAAAACAAAAGCCCAAUAAUCCAAACUCCUUCCUUCACUCACGUAACACCCUCUCUCUCUCUCUACCCCCUUCUUCUUUCUCGACGGAAAUCGCAGCAGAUCGCCGCCUUGACCGCCUCCGCCGUCGGCCGCUGCUCUCGGCACGCCGUUCGCUCUGAGCCAUCUCCAGCCGCUGCACCCGACGCCGUCGCUGCUGUUUCGCGCCGCUGCCGCUCGUCGCCGGAGUCCGCCGCUGCUGUCUCGCCGUCCAGCCGCCAGCCACUGCGGUCGUCGCUCCCGGCGUUCAGUCAUCGCACAUCCAACUCCGCUGGGGCCGUCGGGAGAGCGACGCCGCUGCUGUCAGCGACGCGUGCGUCGGUAAUUUCCGCCAUCCGUUGCUCCGAUUCACCCCGAAUCAGACCCGACGCCCCCAACACUCACUCGAUUCUCCCCGCAAGUUAAGUUUCUCAGAUUCGAUUCCAGUUCAUUAAAGUUCGCUCCUUUUAUAUUUUUUUCCAGUUCUCUUUGAUUAAUCGUUUAAGAGGUAAAUUCACAGAUUUAUCGAUGAUAGCGUUUGACGUAAAGAUGCAGCAGUUUCAAAUCGAGAUUGGUUGGAGGGGGUGUAUACCUUCACUAAUCUGAGACGGGGAUGGGAAGAAAGAAACGAAGAGUGAAAUCUGUAUUAUAGAGGAGUAGUAGAUUUGGUGGAGAGAUUGGAGAGAUUUGGGGAGAGAUUCAUGAGAGAGAGACGGUUGCAGCAUCGUGUGUUGGGGAGUGGGAGUUUCGGUUUCUUUCCUUUUUUUUCUCUUUCUGAUUUACUUGAAUUUAUCUGGUAUUUUAUUUAUAGGUUACGGGGAGGAACAAUUCCAUCACGGAGCAGGAAAAUCUACGUAAAAUCUUUAAUUAAAUCUUGAAUUAAAGAUAUUUUAUUUUAGUUGGUUUAGAUUAAUUCACAGCCCGUUGUAUUUUAUUUUAAAUUGUGCAGUCCAUUUAUUUAUCACGGACUGGACCUUUAUUUAA